rnacentral:rRNA from 1 species
CAUUAUCAAUAUCAGCGGGCUUCGGCCCCUGCUAUACCCUUGUCUUUUGCGUACCACUUGUUUCCUCGGCGGGCUUGCCUGCCGAUAGGACAAACACAAACCCUUUGUAGUUGCAAUCAGCGUCAGAAAAAAACAAUAAUUAAAACUUUCAACAACGGAUCUCUUGGUUCUGGCAUCGAUGAAGAACGCAGCGAAAUGCGAAAAGUAGUGUGAAUUGCAGAAUUCAGUGAAUCAUCGAAUCUUUGAACGCACAUUGCGCCCCUUGGUAUUCCAUGGGGCAUGCCUGUUCGAGCGUCAUUUGUACCUUCAAGCAAUGCUUGGUGUUGGGUGCUUGUCCGCCAGCGGACUCACCUAAAAGCUAUUGGCAGCCGCCGCAUAGGCAGCAGAGCGCAGCACAUUACCGCGUCUCUGCCCUCCGCGACGGCAUCCACAAGCCCUUUUCAACGUUUGACCUCGGAUCAGGUAGGGAUACCCGCUGAACUUAAGCAUAUCA